rnacentral:rRNA from 1 species
AUUGAACGCUGGCGGCAGGCCUAACACAUGCAAGUCGAGCGGAUGAAGGGAGCUUGCUCCUGGAUUCAGCGGCGGACGGGUGAGUAAUGCCUAGGAAUCUGCCUGGUAGUGGGGGAUAACGUCCGGAAACGGGCGCUAAUACCGCAUACGUCCUGAGGGAGAAAGUGGGGGAUCUUCGGACCUCACGCUAUCAGAUGAGCCUAGGUCGGAUUAGCUAGUUGGUGGGGUAAUGGCCUACCAAGGCGACGAUCCGUAACUGGUCUGAGAGGGUGAUCAGUCACACUGGAACUGAGACACGGUCCAGACUCCUACGGGAGGCAGCAGUGGGGAAUAUUGGACAAUGGGCGAAAGCCUGAUCCAGCCAUGCCGCGUGUGUGAAGAAGGUCUUCGGAUUGUAAAGCACUUUAAGUUGGGAGGAAGGGAAGUAAGUUAAUACCUGGCUGUUUUGACGUUACCAACAGAAUAAGCACCGGCUAACUUCGUG